rnacentral:rRNA from 1 species
UACAGAGGUCUCAACCGUUGUUCGGAUUCAUUGGGCGUAAAGGGCGCGUAGGCGGCCGCCUAAGUCAGACGUGAAAUCCCUCGGCUCAACCGGGGAACUGCGUCUGAUACUGGGUGGCUUGAAUCCGGGAGAGGGAUGCGGAAUUCCAGGUGUAGCGGUGAAAUGCGUAGAUAUCUGGAGGAACACCGGUGGCGAAGGCGGCAUCCUGGACCGGCAUUGACGCUGAGGCGCGAAAGCCAGGGGAGCAAACGGG